UAAUUAAUUAAAGCGACAAACAUAUGUUACUUAUAAUUCGCAGCAGUAAAAAAGAACUAGAUGGUGAAAAAGUUAAAAUAAGAUAAAAAGAGGUACAGAAGGUAAGUAUGAAAAUGUCUGGAUUUUGUAUUCAAUCUGAGCUGAAAUGGUACAAUUCAAAGUUUAUGCUUCGGUUUGAGUAAUCUGAGUAAUUGAAAGUUAUGUUUCGGUCUGACUUCUGAGUCAACUGGGGUGGACUUUUUAGGAUGAGAAAUUACGAAUACAAGUACAAAAUUUGUUGUUUUGAGUUCCUUCGCAAAGAAAAUCAUACUAGUGUAGUUGGUGAACGAAAUGUUUUGGCCUUUCGAAUUUCGAAUUGCCACGACCUGCUUCAACCUAACCGUUCAAUUUCCGAUCGAGUCAACGGUCACCAUCAAUCGUUCAAGAGCGGGUCGUACUUCUCUCCAUCGCAAUUCACUAUCUCUCGUUGAUAAAGAACCUACAAACAAUUCGUCUAGAACCAACAUGCACCAGUUGAUUUCGAAAGCUAAGGAUAGAUUCCAGUUGUGCUUUUUCGAUUCCUCUGUUUUGAUUCUAUGUCGUAGUUUCCUGAUUACUGCCUCCGUAUGGAUUGGUGGUUAGGAAAAAUCCAGCGGGUUCCGCCGCCGACCAGGGAUUCUACAAUCAGUUUUGAUUUUGAUUCCUUUUGAUUGGUUCUUUACUAAUUUAUUUGAUUAUUGUUGUCCCCUAUAUACUUCAAUUCUUAAACAGGAAUCAAAUUUUCCCUUUUUAGCUUCGCAGCUUGAAUAUUAUUUUAUGGAACAUUGUAUAAAAAAUAAUUAAUUCACCCCAUCAUAAUUCCUCCCAAGGAUCCAACACUUCCUCAAGAUAUUGGCAUUUUGAAUUGAUGAACAUAAUUUAUUUUGAUUUCUCAAUCAAUUACUUUUCAUGCUCCUUAGCUAUAAUUCAUAAUGCUCUAAUUUCUGUUUUUUUUAAUCUUCAUAUUAUAUAAUCUCAUAUUUUUAUUGGUAAUUAUCCUUAAUUAUUUUUUUAUUUUUGAGUCUUUCUUUAUCCGACCUUCGUUUACAGAAGUAAAAAAAUAAUCUGCCUUUUGAACCCAAUGAAUUAGAUUGGAACCAUUUUAUACUUGAAGUGUAUUUGAAGAACAUAAAAGUGACUGUUGGGAGCUGUAGGGUGUUUUAUGAGCAUACUUAUUUAGCUCAAUCGGUUUUUUUUUUUUUCUUUUUUUUUUUUUAUUUGCUAGAGUAAAUUAGUGAACCGAUGGGUGUUUUGUUUUGAUUAUCGCAGUGUAAACUAUCGUAGCUUAUUGUUAAUGAAACUCUAUGUGCUUAAAUAGUUAAACAGAAUCCAACUUUUAUUUUUUAAAUCUCAUGCAUUAGAUUGGGACCAUUUUAUGCUUUAAGUAUAUUUUAGGAACAUAAAAUUAACUCUUUGAAGUUUUAUUUUUUUGUUAUAAUUUUGCUUAUUUCCUGUUAUUGGUUUGUUGUAAACUUAUAAUUAGUUGUAGAUACAUGAAUUGUAAGAAAUGCUAUAUGUAUCGAGCUGAUAUAUAUGGAGAACAACACUGAAUUUAUGAUGGUUGAAAAGGAGGCGAGGAGGUGGAAUAUUUGGGCGGUUGAUUGUUGGUUGGAGGAACUUUUGCUAGAGAUGACAAAUUAGUUGUUUUAAUUUUUUGUUGUCAUACAUAAUUGUGGACUAUUAAUUCUUAAUGAUUAGGAAGGAUUAUUAUUCUGUACAUCUCUGUUUUGAAUUUUGAGUUGGAUAUUAUUUUUAGUACAAAGUUAGUAAUGAAGGAUUUCAAGUUAGUAAUGAAGGAUUUCUAACUCGAUUUUUUAGUACAAACUCAUGUUUGAAUCGUCGACAUAUGACUUAAGACCGUACGUACUUCAACUCGUGGACCAAUGCAGAUAAAACUUUUAGAAAAACCGUUGGUACCUAAGUUAGUUUCCACGGGAUGAGUGCAACACAUGAUAGGCUACUAAAAAAAAUUAAGAAAAAAGCUAAAAUGUGAGUUAAAAAAUAGAAAAAGAUGAUUCACAGUCACAAAAAAAAAAGUCUGUAAAAGCAUUAAAGAGGUUUAAAUAGAUUUAGAAUAUAAAAAGAAAAAAUAUAGUCUUUCUCUUAUCAAAUCAAGAUUAUAAUUAAAAAUUAAUCUAAACUGUCAAAUAAAAGCUAACAAUAUUAAAAUAUCCUAACAAUUAAAAUAAAAAAAGUGUUUUAACCUUAGAUUUUUUAACAUAUCUCAACAUCAGUGAUAAAUAAAGGCAAUAAAGAAAGCUGUCACAUGCUAAUUUUAAACUUAUGAAUAAUGGUGAAGUAGAUAUUAAUUCUUUGCGUUAAUCCAAAGUUUUCAUUCCCCCACAACAUGGUCUAGCUUGUUUCCACUAAACCCUCUAAUUUUCUUUUCAACUAAUUCCCAUAAGGUCAAUAUUGGUGAUUGACCGUUUCAAGCCGACCUUCAGGGUUUAAUCGCCUGUUUUUAGUGGGCCUCGUUUGUAAAUGGACCGUUUAAUGGUAUUUGGCCGGCCAAGCUCAAAAGCUAUCAGACCUAAUUUGUUGUAGUUAGGUCAUCGCUUACAUGUGUAGAUGAUGGGAUAGCAACGAUUACAUCAAUCGUUAGGAUGAAACCAUCCAUCUCGAAAAUAGUUAAGCUAUGAAUACUGUCCGACUCACUUUAUAAAGGGAAGACUGUUAUAAUCUAGAAGUAACAUUCACUUGGUACGUAUAUUUUGCCGAUUCUCCCUUCUCUUUCGUAAUCCUACUUCAUUCUUGAACUUACUAUCUUACAUCAUCACUCAACUUAUGUGGGAUUCAUACAAUGUUGGACCAAAUGAUACAACUUGAAUCCAACGAUGGCAUACUUAGCCCAAUACUUGCCCUUCAUCAUCAACGAUAUGAUCUUGCUUAAGGGAAGUCACCAGUUGGCUUCCGCCACUUGGAAAAAUGACUCGUUUUUCAAGCGGACUAUAUAAAAUAAGGUGACCACUAUAUUUUUGACACUUCAUAUACUCUGAUCCCACACACCUACUCUAUAUACUAAUCCAAGCCAUAUGUAUAUGACUGGUUAUACGCUUUCAAACACAUCUCGCCACUUAUAUGUUUCCCAUAGAGUAUUUUCAUACACCUCAUUCCUCUCAUAUCACCACACUGUGAUAAACCGCCCAGGGACUCAAAGAUGGUUCACAAACAAAUGACUAUCAAUCUAUUCAAAACAACCCGACUCUCUAAAUUAAACCACUCAUUAAUAUUUAUCAACCAACUGAGCCCGCCGAACAAGGUAUUGAUUUGAUGAUUUUUUUUUAACAAAAGAAAGCUUAAUAAAAAUUACAGCAUUUUACCAUAACCAAAAGGAUAGAUCACAUUCCAUCACAAUCAACCUUCUAAGUCAGAUAUAAUACGAAAGUGCUUCCUAUCAAAUAGGUUGCCGGUUUGGGUUUGGAGGAUUCAUCAUCAGUUAACGGACGUGGAGCUUAUUAGUGACUGAUCCCUAACUUGAAGAGGUAGAACUGUAGAACCGGCACGCAAUCGCAAUCUCUCUCAAAAAGAGCCCAAAGGUUUAUACUUUUUUAACAAAAAAAAGGCCAUCUGUUGGCUUCCUAGCUGGCCAUUUCUUCUGGUUAAAUAGCGUGUCUUCUGGUUUUGAGGCCUAUCCAUCAUCUUAAAGUUGUUGGCAUUAUUUUAUUUCUUUUCGGUUUUGCUGCUACUGAAUACAGAUUACCCAUCUCCCCUUCGGUUUGGUGGAAGAAAGUUGGGAUCUUGUUUGGUUGAGGAGCCGAUGGGGAGGCUGUUUGUGGUGAGUCUUGAAGGGAAGAUCUAUAGCUGCAAGCACUGUAGAACCCAUCUUGCUCUUUCUGAAGAUAUUGUGUCAAAGGUUGUUGCUUUUUUCCUCUGUUCUGGUUUUAUUUUUUCAAUCGGUGAAGUUAUCUUGUGGAAUUUCUCAUCUGGGUUUCGUUAAUUGAGCUGGGGGGUUUUCUUGUGAUCGGAUUAGGGGAAAGUAGGGGAAAUUAGUUGAUUGAAUCGGAUUAGUUUUGUAGUAGUAGCAUUGUUAGUUGUAAACGCAUAGUUCUUUGCUUGGUGAACCGAUUAAGGGACUUGCGAAGUUGCAGACUUUGCAGUAGGUAUCAGUGAUUGAUCUUUUGCUUAUGUGAUCGGUAUGAUCUGAUGAACAUCUAAUGUUUGUUGAUCAGGUUUGCUGUACAAUAUGCCUAGGUAGGUGAACCAUAGGUCCAUAGCCAUUGCUAGUGUGGAUUGGUACUCUGGCUUUUCUUCUAUGCUUAGUGUGUACUCUUGAAUGUCUCAUUUUGUUCUAGCUUAAGUGUCCAAUUACUCCCUAUCCCGUCCUCCUUUGUGAAAACUUGGGACUUUAGCCUGGUAAAUCGAAUCAUAUGAACCUAUGAGAAGCGAAACACUUUGAAUGCAAUGCAUUUAUUUCGUCCAACUAGUUAUGAAACGGUUUCUACCAUGCUGCAGCUCAAAUAUUGCUAGUUUUCAUUCGUUCCCUCGAAAUUUUGUUGGGAAAGCGAGGUUCUGACCUAUUGUGCCUGUGUAUCUUUCCAGUCCUUCCACUCCAGGCAUGGGAAAGCUUAUCUUUUCAGCAAAGUGUAAGUUGUCACUGGUUUCAUCAACCAACCAUCAGUUUCCUCAUUAUGCCUGUAAUCGAUAUAAUCGGAAUGCCAUAUAGAGUAAAGAUUGCAUCUUUUCCCAGAUAUCACUUGGUAAUUCUGUCUUCACAUGUUUGUUUCAGAGUGAACGUAACUAUGGGAGAGAAAGAGGAGAGAUUAAUGAUGACCGGAAAGCAUACCGUUGCUGACAUUUUCUGUGUCGGAUGUGGAUCAAUUGUGGGCUGGAAAUAUGUAAGAUUCACCUGAAAAAAAA
rnacentral:lncRNA from 1 species